AUGUUCUCCCCAUCUCCGAUCCAGCCAUAUCCACCCUUCCAAAGAGUCCAGAGAAUCGAGAGAGGGAGAAUGGAGGCCGCAACGCAGCUUGUCUCCAUCGUCGGGCAGUUUGUGGGCGAGGAGUACCAGCAGCUCCGCGGCGUCGGAGGGCAGGUGGCUGAGCUCAGCGACGAGCUGGACACCAUGAACGCCAUCCUCCGCAUGCUGUCCGACGCCGAGGAGGGCGCCGUUGACCACUUCAUCCGGGUGUGGAUGAAGCAGGUCCGCGAGCUUGCCUACGACGCCGAGGACUGCGUGCACCUCUACAUCCUCCGCAUCCGGUGCCGGCCGAGAGACCGCUUCCUCGUCUGGUCCAAGCGCGUCCUCGCGACGCUCUUCCCUCGCCGUCGGUUGGCUCGUGAGAUCCAGGAGCUCCGCGCCCGUGCCGUCGUGAUCAGUGAGCGCCAUGCGCGUUACGGCGUCAGCCGUGAGGCGCUACUGCGAUGCACUACUUCUUCUAUAGCCGCUCCUACCCCCGUGCUCCGCCAUGCGCUCGGCCGGCCGGCAGCAAACGACCCUGACCAUCUCGUCGGCAUCACGGAGCAGGCUGAUAAACUGUCCAACAUGGUGAGGGCGGUGGGUGACAAGAAUCUCAAGGUGUUCUCCAUCGUUGGAUUUGGUGGACUCGGGAAGACCACACUGGCGAUAGAGGUGUGCCGGAAGCUGGAGGUGGAGUUCCCACACCAAGCGCAAGUGUCCGUGUCCCAGGCGUUCGGCGGCACCAAGGAUCUCGAGGGAUUGCUGAGGCGCAUUCUUCGACAGAUCGUGCAGGCGAAAGCAGAGAAUGCACAAGGCAUCAAGGAAGAGAACCCCCUUCAUGGCGUCGACGACAAGGAUGAAAGCGACCUCACCAGGAUGCUCAAGGAGCUUCUCAAGGACAAGAGGUACCUCAUUGUUGUCGAUGAUAUAUGGACGGUAGCAACAUGGGAUACAAUCAGACCGAAGUUGCCAGACAACAAAAAUGGCAGCAGGGUCAUUGUGACCACUCGGAUAGAGAGUGUAGCCGAAGCAUGCGGUGAUGCUAGUGUUGAUGGAGAUCGCAUUUAUCAGAUGAAACCCCUUGAUUUUAAUGACUCCAAGAAGUUGUUCCUCAGCAGAGCAUUUGGUUCAGAGAACGACACUUUGCACAAUGAUCUGAGAGGUGAAAUGGACAAAAUCUUAAGAAAAUGUGGUGGGCUACCAAUGGCCAUUAUUAGUAUUGCCAACCUCUUGGCGAGCUACAAAUCACCGGAGAGCAAAGAUAUGUGGGAAAGAAUAUGCAAGUCAAUUGGUUCUCAAAUGGAGAACCACCCUACCCUUGAGGGCAUGAGGAAAAUAGUUACUCUCAGCUAUAACCACUUGCACUAUUAUCUCAAGGGUUGCAUAAUGUACCUUAGUAUUUUCCCAGAGGAUUAUGUAAUCACCAAGAAGCGGCUCUUGAAGAGAUGGAUAGCUGAAGGACUAGUUGCUGAGAUUCGAGGCUUGACCUUAAUGGAGGCUGCAGAAGCCUAUUAUAAUGAGUUAUUGAGUAGGAACAUGAUUGUUCGGGCCGGUGAUAUUGUCAGCUGGUGGGAUGGGACUGUGGAGACGUGUCAGGUACAUGACAUGGUCCUUGAGGUCAUGGUGUCCAAAUCCCUGGAGGCUAAUUUUGUUAGCCUAGUAGGUGGCUCUUAUGAAGGGAUGUCCUACGGUAGCAUUCGCCGCCUAUCCAUCCAUGGUGGAGAGGUAGUAUCCGAAGGCUCUUGCUCCACUGAAAUUGCAACAUCACAUGGUAGGAAGAAUGACAUCGAAGGGAUGAAGAUGGAGCAUGUCCGAUCACUGAGCAUGUUUGGCCCUAAAGAUAACAUGAAGAUGCUUGAUCGUCUAGGUGAGUUAAGUCUGCUCAGGGUACUUGACCUGGAAGACUGCACGGCCAUAAAAAACAAGCAUUUGAGACAUGUUUGCCGGAUGUACCUUCUCAAGUUCUUGAAUUUGAAAGGAACAAGUAUUAGUGAGAUGCCUCCGGAAGUCGGUGACCUAGAAAAUUUGGAGACCCUUGAUGUACGUCAGACACACCUUGAAGAUCUACCGGAAACGGUGACAAAGCUAGAGAAACUAGAACACCUCCAAUUCAACAAGAAGGAUGCCAUAUUUUAUACGUCUUGGAGAGCAAGUAAGGGCCUGGGUAGGAUGAAGGCAUUACAGACGGUGAAUGCAGUAGUUUUUGGAAGUGAUGCUGAUGUUGCCGAAGAGCUUGGUAACCUACAACAAGUGAGAGAGUUACGUAUGGAUGUGGACUGCGGUCCCCUUGAUCUGAAUGUUAGGAAAAAUCUUGCUGUGUCCCUGGGCAAGAUAUAUUCCCUCAGGUGGCUCAACAUUACUGAUCAUCCUUGGGUCAACCGUACCGACCCUCUUGGGGACCCACAAUAUUUGGACUUCAUACAUGAAAUCGACCCCCCGCCGCGGCUCCUCGGAUAUCUUAGGAUCGGCUCCGGCAUUAGCAAAUUGCCCGACUGGGUCACUGAAUUAUCUUACCGAGCUUUUCCUUUCUUGGACAUACUUGGUUGGUGA
rnacentral:rRNA from 1 species